GACUACAGAGUACUAUAGCUUGAAUUCUUCUGGGCAACAAUUUCCUAAUCGAGAGAAAUUAGAAGACCCUCAGUUGUAUCAUUAUGCAUUAUUCUCAGAUAAUGUUCUGGCUGCAGCAGUUGUUGUGAACUCCACUGUUACCCAUGCUAAGGACCCUUCGAAACAUGUUUUUCAUAUCGUUACUGAUAGACUCAACUAUGCAGCAAUGAGAAUGUGGUUUCUAGU
rnacentral:misc_RNA from 1 species